UACGUAGGGUGCAGGCGUUAAUCGGAAUUACUGGGCGUAAAGCGUGCGCAGGCGGUUUCUUAAGUCAGAUGUGAAAGCCCCGGGCUUAACCUGGGAACUGCGUUUGAAACUGGGAGACUUGAGUGUGGCAGAGGGGGGCGGAAUUCCGACGUGUAGCAGUGAAAUGCGUAGAUAUGUGGAGGAACACCGAUGGCGAAGGCAGCCCCCUGGGUUAACACUGACGCUCAUGCACGAAAGCGUGGGGAGCAAACAGG
rnacentral:rRNA from 1 species